rnacentral:rRNA from 1 species
UACGUAGGGGGCAAGCGUUGUCCGGAAUCAUUGGGCGUAAAGAGCGCGUAGGCGGCCCUGUAAGUCCGCUGUGAAAGUCAAGGGCUCAACCCUUGGAUGCCGGUGGAUACUGCAGGGCUAGAGUCCGGAAGAGGAGAGUGGAAUUCCCGGUGUAGCGGUGAAAUGCGCAGAUAUCGGGAAGAACACCCGUGGCGAAGGCGGCUCUCUGGGACGGUACUGACGCUGAGACGCGAAAGCGUGGGGAGCGAACAGG